AUUGAACGCUGGCGGCAUGCCUUACACAUGCAAGUCGAACGGUAACGGGCCUUCGGGUGCCGACGAGUGGCGAACGGGUGAGUAAUACAUCGGAACGUGCCCGAUCGUGGGGUAUAACGAGGCGAAAGCUUUGCUAAUACCGCAUACGAUCUACGGAUGAAAGCAGGGGACCGCAAGGCCUUGCGCGGACGGAGCGGCCGAUGGCAGCUUAGGUAGUUGGUGGGAUAAAAGCUUACCAAGCCGACGAUCUGUAGCUGGUCUGAGAGGAUGAUCAGCCACACUGGGACUGAGACACGGCCCAGACUCCUACGGGAGGCAGCAGUGGGGAAUGUUGGACAAUGGGCGCAAGCCUGAUCCAGCCAUGCCGCGUGCAGGAUGAAGGCCUUCGGGUUGUAAACUGCUUUUGUACGGAACGAAAAGCCUUCUUUUAAUACAGGAGGGUCAUGACGGUACCGUAAGAAUAAGCACCGGCUAACUACGUG
rnacentral:rRNA from 1 species